rnacentral:lncRNA from 10 species
GGGGUCGGAGCGCGGGGGCCGGCCGAGAGGAAAGCUGGAGGCGCGGGUGGGGAACAUGUCUGAGUCGGAGCUCGGCAGGAAGUGGGACCGGUGUCUGGCGGAUGCGGUCGUGAAGAUAGGCCGUGAAAUGGAGAGUCAGGUGAAGGAAUUUGCCCACGGUCACAGCUAACAAAUGGCAAAAUUAGGGAUUUUACCCAGCUUUUCUGGGGUCAAGUCCCAUGUUCCUUCUUCGAUGCUAAUUUUUGUUACCCAAAUGUGAUAUUUUUGUGUGGUAAUCUUAGGGUAUUUAAGAGGAUUUAGGAUUGUGUCUUUGAAUGAAAACAUUGAGGAAUAAGAUUGUAAGCUCCAUGAGAGCAGGGAUGUUUUCUGGUUUAGUCACUGCCCCAUCCCCAGCCCCUAAAAGAGUGCUUAAUAAAAAUUGUUGAGAGUGAGUCAAUAAAUGAAACAGUUUAUAAGUUACCAUUUCACCUCUGAAUUCAGC